AGCUCCAGCAGCAUAUGUUAAAGUUGUUGUGGUUAAAAAGCUCGUAGUUGUAUGCGUGUUAAGAGGAAUUCGGUCCGCCUCUGGGGUGAGCAUUGGGCUCUUCUGGCAUUUUUGCUGGGCUGUGCUGCUGCACUUUGCUGUGUGGUGCAUGGUGUGGUACUGUUACUUUGAGAAAAUUGGAGUGUUUAAUGCAAGGUUGUGCUUUUGAACACAAUAGCAUGGAAUGACAAUUCUGAACUUUGACUUUUGGUCAGCUUGCUGUCAAAGGGAGAGAGAAUGGGGAUUGUUGGGGGCAUUUGUAUUUGGCUGUCAGAGGUGAAAUUCUUGGAUUUGCCAAAGACAAACAAAUGUGAAAGCAUUUGCCCAGGAUGCUUUCAUCAAUCAAGAACGAAAGUACGCA
rnacentral:rRNA from 1 species